UACGUAGGGGGCGAGCGUUGUCCGGAAUCAUUGGGCGUAAAGCGCGUGUAGGCGGCCCGGUAAGUCCGCUGUGAAAGUCCCAGGGCUCAACCCUGGGAUGCCGGUGGAUACUGUCGGGCUCGAGUCCGGAAGAGGCGAGUGGAAUUCCUGGUGUAGCGGUGAAAUGCGCAGAUAUCAGGAGGAACACCAAUGGCGAAGGCAGCUCGCUGGGACGUGACUGACGCUGAGACGCGAAAGCGUGGGGAGCAAACAGGA
rnacentral:rRNA from 1 species